rnacentral:rRNA from 1 species
GACGAACGCUGGCGGCGUGCCUAAUACAUGCAAGUAGAACGCUGAAGCGAGGAGCUUGCUCUUCUUGGAUGAGUUGCGCACGGGUGAGUAACGCGUAGGUAACCUGCCUUGUAGCGGGGGAUAACUAUUGGAAACGAUAGCUAAUACCGCAUAACAAUGGAUGACACAUGUCAUUUAUUUGAAAGGGGCAAUUGCUCCACUACAAGAUGGACCUUCGUUGUAUUAGCUAGUAGGUGAGGUAAUGGCUCACCUAGGCGACGAUACAUAGCCGACCUGAGAGGGUGAUCGGCCAGACUGGGACGGAGACACGGCCCAGACUCCUACGGGAGGCAGCAGUAGGGAUACUGCGGAAAGGGGGGCAAACCUGACCGAGCAACGCCGCGGGAGUGAAGAAGGGUUUCGGAUCGUAAAGCUCGGUUGUAAGUCAAGAAAGGGUGUGAGAGUGGAAAGUUCACACUGUGACGGUAGCUUACCAGAAAGGGACGGCUAACUACGUG